UACGUAGGGGGCAAGCGUUGUCCGGAAUCAUUGGGCGUAAAGCGCGUGUAGGCGGCUCGGUAAGUCCGCUCUGAAAGUCCAGGGCUCAACCCUGGGAUGCGGGUGGAUACUGCCGGGCUCGAGUCCGGAAGAGGCGAGUGGAAUUCCCGGUGUAGCGGUGAAAUGCGCAGAUAUCAGGAGGAACACCGGUGGCGAAGGCGGAUCUCUGGGCCGAUACUGACGCUGAGGAGCGAAAGCGUGGGGAGCGAACAGG
rnacentral:rRNA from 1 species